GAUGAACGCUGGCGGCGUGCCUAAUACAUGCAAGUCGAGCGAACGGACGAGAAGCUUGCUUCUCUGAUGUUAGCGGCGGACGGGUGAGUAACACGUGGAUAACCUACCUAUAAGACUGGGAUAACUUCGGGAAACCGGAGCUAAUACCGGAUAAUAUUUUGAACCGCAUGGUUCAAAAGUGAAAGACGGUCUUGCUGUCUCUUAUAGAUGGAUCCGCGCUGCAUUAGCUAGUUGGUAAGGUAAAGGCUUACCAAGGCAACGAUGCAUAGCCGACCUGAGAGGGUGAUCGGCCACACUGGAACUGAGACACGGUCCAGACUCCUACGGGAGGCAGCAGUAGGGAAUCUUCCGCAAUGGGCGAAAGCCUGACGGAGCAACGCCGCGUGAGUGAUGAAGGUCUUCGGAUCGUAAAACUCUGUUAUUAGGGAAGAACAUAUGUGUAAGUAACUGUGCACAUCUUGACGGUACCUAAUCAGAAAGCCACGGCUAACUACGUG
rnacentral:rRNA from 1 species